rnacentral:lncRNA from 1 species
CUAGUCAAGGAGUGGCAUCAUAUGUUAUCUUUAUGUUAAACUACAUUUCUAUUAUGAUAAGCCUCCUUUAAAGUGUUCCAAAAAUCUCAGCUGGAUAUCAGCAGAAAUAAGGUAAAUUUGAGAAAGGUCUUGGGACUCGCUAGCAAUUAGAAAAAUGAAUAUUAGAAGUAUUUCUCAUUGACAAAAUGCUAAUUGGCUAAAAUACUUUAGAGAUGAGUUCAACUCUGAUGGAAAUAAGCUGGAAUUAUCUAGCAUUCCUGUACCUUCUAACUUCAGGGAAAAUACCUGAAGAUUGACCUCUGAAUAAUCCUGAUUCCAGGCAUUGGUUUGGAGGUUAAUUAAAUCUUUCCCUCAGAAUAUAGAAUAUUAUCACAUUUAUCUUGGCGAAACUUUCAUAUAAAUGCAUUGAAAGUACUUAUAAAACCAUAAUGAGGAGUAUGACUUCAGUUUUGGAUAUUUCACUGAGGACAAUUCUAAGCCUCACCCUUUCUUUCCUCUUGUGUACACAAUCUAGACAAACUGAUAAGAAAGCCUGGAUGUCACUCCUUUGGCAUUGGCAGGAGAGUUAAACGACAUGAGCCCUUUCCAGCACAGAGAAGCUCUCAUCUCUGCCUCAUCCCCUAAUCGCAAUAAGAAACCCAAGCCAGACUUCCUCCUUUGCUUUCUCAAGCCAUUUAUGACCUGCCCUGCUUUCCCCAGAUAUCUCAAUUAUAAACUGAAAGUAUGGAAGAGCAAAUGCAUGGCCCAGAACCUCAGAGCUAGCCUGGCACAGCGGUUCACACCUGUAAUCUCAGCACUUUGGGAGACCAGGGAAGUGGAUCAUUUGAGGACAGGAGUUCAAGACCAGCCUGGCCAACAUGAUGAAACUCCAUCUCUACUAAAAAAAAAAAAAUACAAAAAUUAGCCUGGCAUGGUGGCACAUGCCUGUAGUCCCAGCUAUUCGGGAGGCUGAGGCAGGAGAAUCACUUGAACCUGGGAGAUGGAGGCUGCAGUCAGCCUAGAUCACGCCACUGCACUCCAGCCUGGGCGAAAAAGUGCGAUUCCAUCUCAAGAAAAAUAAAAUACCUGGUUAUUUGUUUUCUUACUACUGAGUUGUUUGGAUUCCUUAGGCAUUUUGGAUAUUCACUUUUCACAAGAUACAUUGUUUGCAAAUAUUUUCUCCCAUUCUGUAGGCUGUCUCUUUACCCUGUGGAUUGAUUCCUUGGCUGUGCAGAAAAGUUUUAGCUUAAUGUAAUUCCAUUCAUUUAUUUUUGUUUUUCCUGCCUGUACUUUUGGAUUUAUAUCCAAAAAUACCAUUGCCAAUGACAUGGAGGCUUUUCCUUGUUUCCUUCUAGUAAUUUUACAGUUUCCAGUCUGCCAUUUAAGUCUUUAUUUUGCAUUUAUUUUUAUGUGUGGUGUGAAAUAAAGUUCUGGUUUUAUUCCUGCAUAUAAAUAUUUACUCCAGUUGUCCCAAAACCAUUUAUUGAAGAGACUGUUCUUUCCCCAUGCCAAGAAGAGACUGUUCUUGGCACCUAUGGUGAAAAUCAAUUAAUUGUAAAUGUAUGAAUCAAUUUCUGGGCUUUCUAUUCUGUUCAUUUGGUCUAUGAGUCUGUUUUUAUGACAGUACCAUGUCAGAGCUAGUAAUUUUGAUGCUACACUAUGUAUCCAAGUAUUAUUUCUUCACCAUGUCAUGUUAUCUUUACAAAGAAAAGUAGGAGGUUCAUUGAAGAACAUGCAUAGACAAGUAUUUUCAAAGAAUUGACACUUUUUCUUAAACUUUCAUCAUUAAAAC